UCCGUGAUAAACCACGGAACAACGUAUCGAGGAACGCAGACUCUCCCCCGACCCCGAGAGGAACGCAGACUCUCCCCCGACCACGAGCUCCUCUUGCCUCGCCCUCUCUUUCUUUCCUUCUCUCCUUCUCCUUCGUCUCCGCCCAAGCUGCUCCUUCUCCUUCGUCUCCGCCCUAGAGCUGCCCCUUCUCCUCCAUCUCCACCCCCGUCGCUACCUUAGCCCUUUCUCUUUCUCUCCAUCUCCUUUGUCUCUACCUCCGUCACUGCCCUACCCUUUCUCUUUCUUUCCAUCUCCUCCGUCUCCGCCCCCGAGCUGCCCUCGCCCUUUCUCUUUCUCCUCCUGAAGAUCUAUUGCAUCCUCACCGUGCAGAUCGUCCUCACUGUCGCGGUCUGUGUCGUCGUAGUGGCCGUUCAUCGCCGACUUCUUAGUCACGACAACCCUGGACUCGCCAUCUCCAUUGUCAGCCGUGUUCUGCCUUUCAUCAUUCUGUCGGCAAAAGCACCCGUUCAGUUUUGUUAUAUGUUCCCUAACAACCACAAACAAACUGAAAGUUUACUUGAAGCAGAUCAACUCAUGGAAGGACCUAGGUGUAGUCCCUGUGGAAGCGAAUCAUAGCAGAGGAUGUGGCAUUGCUUUCAAAUCUCUAGGUGAUUGGCUUCUUGUUAUUGGUGCAGCUUGGAAUGUUGUGGAUCAUCACAGCCAAGGCAUAUCAAUUUUUUGUUGUCAGCAUGAUCCCAAUGCAAUAGAUGCUCACUGGGUUUUUCUUGGGAGGACAGAUUCUUGAUGGCUGAAGGCUCAAGUGGCUUAAUCGCAUCAAGCACAAGUCUUCAAGUAUGGAUGAAAGUUGCAGCCCUACAAGUUCAAAUGUGGCAAGAAAGCUAGACAAGUUUGCAAGUGCAAGUGCAAAUGUGGUAGAGGUUAAAGCUAAUGAAAUGAUAGUGACUUUGAACAAUAAUGGCGAAAAUCAUGAUUUUCUGUUUUUCCACCCACCAUAAUGUCAUUGGAAAUGCUGGUUUCCAAAUUUUUGUCAUCCACUUACCUUUGAAUUCUCUGUUUGCCACCAUACCCACAAACUAAAUAAAGAAUUUGCAUUGGGAAUGGUCUUGUAAAAAAGUUUUCAUUAUAAAUUUCCAUACCACUUUCGUUUCUUA